rnacentral:tRNA from 1 species
GUCCCUGUAGCGCAAUGGAUAGCGCGUUGGACUUCUAUUCCAAAGGUCGGGGGUCCGAUUCCCCCCUGGGAUG